rnacentral:rRNA from 1 species
AGUGAACGCUGGCGGUAGGCCUAACACAUGCAAGUCGAACGGCAGCACAGUAAGAGCUUGCUCUUACGGGUGGCGAGUGGCGGACGGGUGAGGAAUACAUCGGAAUCUACUUUUUCGUGGGGGAUAACGUAGGGAAACUUACGCUAAUACCGCAUACGACCUACGGGUGAAAGCAGGGGAUCUUCGGACCUUGCGCGAUUGAAUGAGCCGAUGUCGGAUUAGCUAGUUGGCGGGGUAAAGGCCCACCAAGGCGACGAUCCGUAGCUGGUCUGAGAGGAUGAUCAGCCACACUGGAACUGAGACACGGUCCAGACUCCUACGGGAGGCAGCAGUGGGGAAUAUUGGACAAUGGGCGCAAGCCUGAUCCAGCCAUACCGCGUGGGUGAAGAAGGCCUUCGAGUUGUAAAGCCCUUUUGUUGGGAAAGAAAAGCAGCAGGUUAAUACCCCGCUGUUCCGACGGUACCCAAAGAAUAAGCACCGGCUAACUACGUG